ACGGCACUUGGAGAGUGGCAGUCUUCCAGUAUGGGGAGCAAAACAGCUAUGGGUCAAGUCCGAGAUCUUUAGGAGAAGUCUUAUUGUGAGGGCGAGUUAUAUAACACCAUAGGACUGGCCGUCCCAUAUGAAAAGAUUAUAUUAGAAUUGAAUGAAGCUUUGUUUAUAUAUUGAUAAUGACAGUAUAUAUAUCGUGUCUUGACUAAUUGCGUGCCAGCAGUCGCGGUAAUACGUAAGAGACUAGUGUUAUUCAUCUUAAUUAGGUUUAAAGGGUACCCAGACGGUCAAUAUAGCUUAUAAAAUGUUAGUACUUGACUAGAGUUUUAUGUAAGAGGGCAGUACUUGAGGAGGAGAGAUGAAAUUUCGUGAUACCAAAGGGACUCUGUAAAGGCGAAGGCAGCCCUCUAUGUAAAAACUGACGUUGAAGGACGAAGGCACAGAGAACAAACAGGAUUAGAUACCCAAGUAGUCUUUGCAGUAAAUGAUGAAUGCCAUAGGUUAGAUUAAUAGUUAAUGUUUAUAGGCUAAUUAUGGGCUUAGCUUAGCAAACUAAUGCUAUAGACUAGACAUUAAAAAUUAUUUGGUCUAUAAAUGAAAGUGUAAGCAUUUCACCUCAAGAGUAAUGUGGCAACGCAGGAACUGAAAUCACUAGACCGUUUCUGACACCAGUAGUGAAGUAUGUUAUUUAAUUCAAUAAUCCGCA
rnacentral:rRNA from 1 species